rnacentral:rRNA from 1 species
AACGCUAGCUACAGGCUUAACACAUGCAAGUCGAGGGGCAGCGCAGUGUAGCAAUACAUGGGCGGCGACCGGCGCACGGGUGCGUAACGCGUAUCCAACCUUCCCGUUACUCAGGGAUAGCCUUCCGAAAGGGAGAUUAAUACCUGAUGGUGUUUGAAUUCCGCAUGUUAUUCAAACUAAAGAUUUAUCGGUAACGGAUGGGGAUGCGUGACAUUAGGUAGAUGGCGGGGUAACGGCCCACCAUGCCUACGAUGUCUAGGGGUUCUGAGAGGAAGGUCCCCCACACUGGAACUGAGACACGGUCCAGACUCCUACGGGAGGCAGCAGUGAGGAAUAUUGGUCAAUGGUCGGAAGACUGAACCAGCCAAGUAGCGUGAAGGAUGAAGGUUCUAUGGAUUGUAAACUUCUUUUAUACGGGAAUAAAACCACCUACGUGUAGGUGCUUGUAUGUACCGUAUGAAUAAGCAUCGGCUAACUCCGUGCCAGCAGCCGCGGUAAUACGGAGGAUGCGAGCGUUAUCCGGAUUUAUUGGGUUUAAAGGGAGCGUAGACGGGAGAUUAAGUCAGUUGUGAAAGGCUGCGGCUUAACCGCAGCACUGCAGUUGAUACUGGUUUCCUUGAGUGCGGUUGAGGUGUAUGGAAUUCGUGGUGUAGCGGUGAAAUGCUUACAUAUCACGAAGAACUCCGAUUG